rnacentral:rRNA from 1 species
UACGGGGGGGGGCUAGCGUUGUUCGGAAUUACUGGGCGUAAAGGGCGCGUAGGCGGUCUGCUAAGUUGGAUGUGAAAACUCUGGGCUUAACCCCGGGUCUGCAUUCGAUACGGGCAGGCUAGAGUUCGGUAGGGGAGAUCGGAAUUCCCGGUGUAGCGGUGGAAUGCGUAGAGAUCGGGAAGAACAUCAGUGGCGAAGGCGGCCUGCUGGGCUGUUGCUGACGCUGAGGCGCGACAGCGUGGGGAGCAAACAGG